rnacentral:rRNA from 1 species
GGUUAAGCGACUAAGCGUACACGGUGGAUGCCCUGGCAGUCAGAGGCGAUGAAGGGCGUACUAAUCUGCGAUAAGCGCCGGUAAGGUGAUAUGAACCGUUAUAACCGGCGAUACCCGAAUGGGGAAACCCAGUGUGAUUCGUCACACUAUCAUUAACUGAAUCCAUAGGUUAAUGAGGCGAACCGGGGGAACUGAAACAUCUAAGUACCCCGAGGAAAAGAAAUCAACCGAGAUUCCCCCAGUAGCGGCGAGCGAACGGGGAGGAGCCCAGAGCCUGAAUCAGCAUGUGUGUUAGUGGAAGCGUCUGGAAAGGCGCGCGAUACAGGGUGACAGCCCCGUACACAAAAGCGCAUGUGCUGUGAGCUCGAUGAGUAGGGCGGGACACGUGGUAUCCUGUCUGAAUAUGGGGGGACCAUCCUCCAAGGCUAAAUACUCCUGACUGACCGAUAGUGAACCAGUACCGUGAGGGAAAGGCGAAAAGAACCCCGGCGAGGGGAGUGAAAAAGAACCUGAAACCGUGUACGUACAAGCAGUGGGAGCACAGGUUUACCUGUGUGACUGCGUACCUUUUGUAUAAUGGGUCAGCGACUUAUAUUCUGUAGCAAGGUUAACCGAAUAGGGGAGCCGGAGGGAAACCGAGUCUUAAUUGGGCGUUAAGUUGCAGGGUAUAGACCCGAAACCCGGUGAUCUAGCCAUGGGCAGGUUGAAGGUUGGGUAACACUAACUGGAGGACCGAACCGACUAAUGUUGAAAAAUUAGCGGAUGACCUGUGGCUGGGGGUGAAAGGCCAAUCAAACCGGGAGAUAGCUGGUUCUCCCCGAAAGCUAUUUAGGUAGCGCCUCGUGAAUUCAUCUCCGGGGGUAGAGCACUGUUUCGGCUAGGGGGCCAUCCCGGCUUACCAACCCGAUGCAAACUGCGAAUACCGGAGAAUGUUAUCACGGGAGACACACGGCGGGUGCUAACGUCCGUCGUGAAGAGGGAAACAACCCAGACCGCCAGCUAAGGUCCCAAAGUCAUGGUUAAGUGGGAAACGAUGUGGGAAGGCCCAGACAGCCAGGAUGUUGGCUUAGAAGCAGCCAUCAUUUAAAGAAAGCGUAAUAGCUCACUGGUCGAGUCGGCCUGCGCGGAAGAUGUAACGGGGCUAAACCAUG